UACCAGACGAUGACCGGAGGGAGGCCUGAACUACAGUAAGGCAAGGGCUAGGUCACGGUGGUGUCUGAGGUCAAGACGGGUGGAUCAGAGUGGAAGAGCGCAGGUAGACAGGGCCACACACCGGCCAGUGUGUCGGCAUGGGAUCUCUUGCUCAAGUCUGGGACUCUCAGAGUCUAGAAUUUCCUCUGCUGUACCUACACUCAACAAGUUCACCCCGGGUCGCGGAUAUCUCAUUUUUUAAAAUGACGAGGUUAAGGUUCCUGACUGAGAGUGGUAUUAAAUUGCACCGGGAUGGGGGUGGGGAAGGAGAAGGAAGUUCCCCCCCAUAUGAGCGAAUGUUCUUGAAAGUCCAGAGUAUGUAAGGCUGAAAGGGGCCUUUCCUAGUCUACAAGUGGGUCCUACUUCUAAUUUCAUAUUUUCUGAUUUCCUAAUGCGUCUGUACUUUGGAAACGAACAGGAUAUUUUGGCAGGGUCUUGCCUUUGCGUGGAAGGGCUAUAAAUAUGAUUCGCCUGGAAGACCAGGAGUGAAGGCUUCUGCCAGACAUAUGGGACAAAGUUCUUUCAAUCUCAAGUGCAUCCCUUCAAGAUAUGUUUUAGGAAAAUAUCAGAAAAUAGCUGUACCUCAUGGUUUGGCGUUUUUCUCACCAAUAUUAAACCUUGCCUGGGAACAAAACCCAACCAGACCCGCCAUUAAACUGCAUUUCUCCUUGGUCCCUAAUUCUCCUUGGUCCCUAAUAGAAAAUAAAGUCCCCUCUAAAAUUCAUACAGCUUUUCUUCCUAAAUCAGCACACCAGUUCAUGCAAUUUGAGGAAGAUAAUGCUGACUCCUCUGAAGGAUGCCCACGGGAUGUAUACACAAGAAAAGUUAACCCAGGGCUACCGCACACACGCCGAGUUUCCUUUGAAUCUGGAGGCUGUUUGGAGUAUGUUCUGUGUUUUCUUGAAUGACUCCGUGGUUUCAAUUCAUUGGUGUUAGCAGGAAAAACAGGCAAACAAACUUGCUCAAUUUGUUUUGAGUGCCAAAUCCCUUCACUUUGAAAUAGCUAACAGUCGACUCAUUUUAUGGAAAGAGUUAGCCUCUUCAGUCUCCAGGAAAACCGACGAGAGAUCUGCAUUUUAAGCCAUCUCUAACCUUGUAAGAUCCAUGAAAACUCAAACUUUUUCUCCUAACUCAAUGGGAAACCAAAGUAAUGCCAUUUAAAGGAAGAGAUUCAGGAGGAAAACAGUCACGUGCUGUUUUUAUUUUUAUUUCCUCUUCCCCCCACCCCCUUUGAGCCUUUUGGGGGAAAAAAAUCAAGCAUCUCAACAAGUCCUCUCACUGAACUCUGGUCUCACCUCACCGGAAUACUUCCUGAACAAGAACAUUGUCAUCUCUGCCCAUCCAUUAUUAUUUUGCUGGGUCGUCACCCUCUAAAAUAAUGGGCUAUUGCCCCAUCUCUCUCUUAUUUUUCCCUUUGCAUUUUAGAGACAUUAAGAGGGGCUCCUAAAAGAUCAGUCUGGCCAGGAGCUGGUGGCGUGGCUGGAGAGUCUCACAGAAAUGUGGGAAGAAGCUGGAAAUCAAGACCGGCUUGAGAGCAGAGGAAAAGAGAAAGGAGCAGAGUAGAGAGCCGCGCACAUCUGCCCAGACAACUCUUUCCCCACUUUCAGGAUUCAGAGAGUUGAUGUCAUGGAAACAAGCAGUGGAGUGAGAAUGGUGCUCAGCCAGGCUAGGGUGACUAGGAGUAUGGAGUAAUGGAGCAUGUUGGCUGAAGGAUGUUGAGUAGACGGGACAAGAAACUUCAGCAGUGUAUGGCAAGGUAUGGUUGUGCCCCAUACGUGUGGCUGAAGCCCAUGGACGUGAGAAGAGGCUGUCAGGUUCUCUGGAACUGGAGCUACAGAAGAUUUCGAGCUGCUAUGGUGAAGUUCUGAAGAGUAUGUUGUUCCCGUAUUUGUGCUUUGCCAAGGGACUCUUACAUCUACUCUUGUUAUGGACAAGGAGUUUACCUGGCUCAUCGGCCUUUUAUUUUGUUUUGUUUUGAAUUCAUCUUGGUUUCUGUUUGCUGCUCAAUCUUUCUUAAUUUUU